CCUACGGGUGGCAGCAGUAGGGAAUUUUCGGCAAUGGGGGGAACCCUGACCGAGCAACGCCGCGUGAACGAAGAAGUUAUUCGUAAUGUAAAGUUCUUUUAACAGGGAAGAAAGAGAAAUUUGGCGGUACCUGAAGAAUAAGCUCCGGCUAACUCCGUGCCAGCAGCCGCGGUAAUACGUGGGGAGCGAGCGUUAUCCGGAAUUAUUGGGCGAAAGGGGUGCGUAGAUGGCAUUGUAAGUCGUUUGUAAAAAUGCUGGGCUAAACCCAGUAGGGCAAAAGAUACUGCAAAGCUAGAGUAUGAUUGAGGCAAGUGGAACUAGAUGUGUAGCGGUAAAAUGCGUAAAUAUAUGUAAGAACACCAGUGGCGAAGGCGGCUUGCU
rnacentral:rRNA from 1 species